CUCGCCCGGCUGGUGGCUGGCUAACAAAAGAGCAGCUGCUGCUCCCCUCCCUCCGCCCCCUCCCUCCCGGGCUCAGACACACCCGGACAGCGCUUGGGGCAGAUCCCUGACUACAGUUCCCAGGAAUGUUAGCAGCGGACUCGGGUUGGUUGGAGCCAAGAUUGCUGGCAGGAUCUCAGGAGUCUGAGAGGGUCUGAACUGGAGUUGCCUGUGCAGCCGGCAGCAGCAGAAAUGCCCUUAAAAAGGGAAAGGAGAGACGCCAAGGAGAGAACCAGUGCCUGUGCCAGGAGCAUGCAACUCCCAAGAGGUUUCACCAAAGCACGAACUAGGUUUGUUGACUGGUUGAGUGGUAGAAACAGACAGCCGUGUGUGAGGCCAGGAGAAGAUCAGCAUCACCUCUACGAUAUCAGAAGCAGCUGCAGAAAACUCAUGGAAUCUCUGAUCCCACCAGGUUUAUAAUCUUGCAGCAGCAAAGUGUGAGGCCAAGAGAAGACCAGCAUCAUCUACGAUAUCAUGAGCAGCUGCAGAAAACUCAUGGAAUCUCUGAUCCCACCAGGUUUAUAAUCUUGCAGCAGCAAAGUGUGAGGCCAAGAGAAGACCAGCAUCAUCUACGAUAUCAUGAGCAGCUGCAGAAAACUCAUGGAAUCUCUGAUCUCACCAGGUUUAUAAUCUUGCAGCAGCAAAGUCUGCUAGGCAUUCUCCAAUAUCCAUUCUUCUCUCCCUCCAUAAUAAGAGUUUUAGGUGGAAACAUGGUUGCUCAGCUAAAGACUACAUUUCCCUGCUUCCCUUGCAGCCAGGGUGGUCAUGUGACUGAAUUUUGGCAGGUGAAGUAUAAGCAGAAGUUAUUUCUGUCCUCUUAAUUGGGUGUGUGCUCCCCUGUCUCCCUUUCCAAUUUCCUAUCAACUGGAAGAUCACAAAAGCUAAAGCAGCUUGGGAAUUAAAGAUGGAAUCUGUGCAAAGAGAAUGGUAGAGCCUCCCUAAAAGCUCUGGAUUGCUGACCAUCAGGCAAAUAAACCUCUAUUUUGUCUAAGCCA